rnacentral:rRNA from 1 species
UACGUAGGGUGCGAGCGUUAAUCGGAAUUACCGGGCGUAAAGCGUGCGCAGGCGGUCUUGUAAGUCAGAUGUGAAAUCCCCGGGCUUAACCUGGGAAUGGCAUUUGGGACUGCAAGGCUGGAGUGUGGCAGAGGAGACUGGAAUUCCUGGUGUAGCAGUGAAAUGCGUAGAUAUCAGGAGGAAUACCGAUGGCGAAGGCAGGUCUCUGGGCUGACACUGACGCUCAUGCACGAAAGCGUGGGGAGCAAACAGG